rnacentral:rRNA from 1 species
CUCAAUGAAAAUUCAAUAGCCGCAAUACUCUUGUGCUAAGGUAGCAUAAUCAUUUGUCUUUUAAUUAAAGACUAGAAUAAAAGAUUUAAUAUUUUUAUUUCUUUCUAAUAUAUUAUAUAUUAAACCUAUUAUAAAUAUAAAAAAAUAUUUAUAAUUUAAAAAGACGACAAGACCCUAUUGAACUUCACUAAAGUUUAACUGGGGUAGUAAAUUAAAUAAUAUUUUAAUUAAAAUUCAAAAACUUCUAAUAAAAUUAAAAAUCAAGUUACCAUAGGGAUAACAGCGCAAUAAUUUUUUUAAGAUCUUAUUUUAAAAAUUGUUUUCGACCUCGAUGUUGAAUUAAUAUUCUAUUAAAUGCAAUAAUUUAAUAAGAAAGUCUGUUCGACUU